AGCAGAGGCAGAAGUAGCAAAAGGCAAAGUCAAGUCCACUCCUGCAGUUAAAAAGCCUGAGGUUCCUAAGGAGAAACCUGAACCAAUAAAGAAAGAAGCAGAAAUGCCAAAAGAGAAACUCAAAGCCACUCCAACAAUAAAAAAAGCUGAGGUUCAAAAGGAGGAGAAGAAACUAAUGAAGAAAGAACCAGAGGUGCCUAAUGAAAAAGUAUUACACACCACGGCAACACAAGUAGAGCCUGUUCUAAAGGAGAAAGUCAAGCCACCAAGGAAAGAUGUUGAAUUGGCAAAAGCAAAAGCCAAACCGGCUCCACCAUUAAAAGGUGAGCGACCCAGGUAAUUCUGUUGUAAAGUAUUGUUCAUUUUUGCAUUUCAUACUUACUAUUUACUUUGUCUAAUUAAAAUAGCAGAAGCUGGCAUUCCAAAGGACAAAGCUAAACCUAAAAAAGGUAUUUAUUUACCAAUGUAUCUUAAUAGUGAGUAUUAGACCUUACAUCAGUUUUAAUUAUGUAUAUAAUCACCAUAAUAUUUCCUGAUCCAGCUGCUGAGAAGGACAAAGAAAAGCCAGAGCCCACUCCAUCACCAAAGGGUGAGAAAUUAAAGCCAAAUGCUGCAACUCAAGGGUCAACUCUUAGCCCACUUUAAUUUCCUGCAAACAUACUAUUUUUAUAUGCUUUAUGUCAAUAUGAAUAAAUAAACACAUGAUCAAUAGACGUUCCUCAACCACACCACUAUUAUGUUGGGUAAUUAUUGCAUGUUUUAAGUUAAAGAGGACAAAAAAAAAAGAAAGGUAUACGACCUCUUGUGACAUAAAAAGCAAAUGAACACAUUGAACAAUUCAGUAACAUGAUUAAAUUUGGUUUGCUUGUGCACAACUGCAAUUCAAUAACGACUUCUUAACUUUGGUCUUUAUCACAGAAUUAGGUGUGAAGAAGGAAAAAGUCCCAGCUGCACCAACAGCAAAAAGUAAGGUUGUUUCUGGUGAAUACAUUAGGAAGGAGUACCGUAUACUGUACUUAUGAGAUGUGUGUACAUUUCUACUCUAGAGCCAGAUGUUCCCAAGACUGAAGCCAAACAACCAAAGAAAGCACCAGGAGCGGUUUUGAAAGAAAGACUGAAACUGACAAGAGGUAAAGCAGACAUUCACCUCAAAGCAGAGCUUGAAGGUCUGAAAAAUCUUACAAAGCCUAUUCCAAAGAAAGAACACAUUGUAAAGGAAAGGAAGAAGCUGGUGGAGAAAGCAACUCCAGAGGCACCAAAAGAAGUGAAACCUGUGCCAGAGACAGAAGAGCCUGAAGUUUCACAGGAGACCACUGCACCUCUGGAGAAAGUUGUUCAUAUAGAAUCUGUAACACCAGUGGACGUCACAGAACCAGCGCCUACAAAACCAGGUGAACCACCGCUGUUGGAGGAGUUUGGUGCAGAAGAAGAUGACCUGCCCUACUUCCAGUGCUUCUUUGUGGAUGAAGAUGACACCCACUAUCCUUUCUUCCCUUUCUCACCGAUCCAAAUGUGAGAACCCUGUCCUCCCUACCACUGACUCAAACAAACAGUGACCUCACCUGGCAGUGUGGUGCGUCAGCAAGUGUCCUGUGGCGAGGUACAAGGACUUCGAGCUCCGCAGGUGAUUAAUGUCAUCGUCCCUGCAGGGCUUUAUAUAGAACACAAAAGCAGGAAUUUUUUUCUGCCUAUAUGUGAGCAAUUCUGUCUUGUGACAGUGUCCUAGAUAAAAAUUAUUACAUCAGAUGGCAGCAUGAGCUGCAUUUCUGUUUUACUUUUAGAGUACAGAGACACCAUAUUAAAAACUUGAGUUUGGUGAUAUGUGCGUCACAAGACCCUUCACAUCUGAUGCGGUUCUUGUGCAUUUUGGCUCUGUUUAACAUCCAAGAAAACAGACGUUCUAAUGACCUUACUACCAGUAUGCCACGAGGCCACCAGAAUGCUGGCUAGUGGCAGUACGGCAAUGUUGCUGUGACAGUGGACAGUAAACAAUGUCUCCUCAUUUUGCUAGGAUGCAUUCCAAUGCAUUGUCUUAUUUCUGAAAAAUGAGGAGAAUGAGAAAUUUUACUUCAUAUCACCUGUCUGUGUGGUCUAAAGUCCACAUAAGACUUAAUGACCAAAAUGUUAUUAUAAAACUAUAGUAAGGAAUAUAAUAGCAAUAACAACAACAACAAUAAUAAUAAUGACAACGAUAUCGUAUACUAACUAAAAUUAUUUUUAAUAUAUUUUAUAUAAGAAAAAUAUUAAAUACAUAACAUAAUAAUACAUACAUAUAAUACAUAACAUAUAAUACAUUACUAUUGUAUUUCAUACUAUAUAUACAGUACAGGCCAAAAGUUUGGACACACCUUCUCAUUCAAUGUGUUUUAUUUAUUUUCAUGACCAUUUACGUUGGUAGAUUCUCACUGAAGGCAUCAAAACUAUGAAUGAACACAUGUGGAGUUAUGUACUUAACAAAAACUGGAGACCUGACCUCCACAGUCACCGGACCUGAACCCAAUCCAGAUGGUUUGGGGUGAGCUGGACCGCAGAGUGAAGGCAAAGGGGCCAACAAGUGCUAAACACCUCUGGGAACUCCUUCAAGACUGUUGGAAAAGCAUUUCAGGUGACGACCUCUUGAAGCUCAUUGAGAGAGCAAGAGUGUGCAAAGCAGUAAUCAGAGCAAAGAAACUAGAAUAUAAAACAUGUUUUCACUUAUUUCACCUUUUACAUAACUCCACAUGUGUUCAUUCAUAGUUUUUAUGCCUUUAGUGAGAAUCUACCAUUGUAAAUGGUCAUGAAAAUAAAGAAAACGCAUUGAAUGAGAAGGUGUGUCCA
ensembl:lncRNA